rnacentral:rRNA from 2 species
UAGGGAAUCUUCGGCAAUGGACGAAAGUCUGACCGAGCAACGCCGCGUGAGUGAAGAAGGUUUUCGGAUCGUAAAACUCUGUUGUUAGAGAAGAACAAGGACGUUAGUAACUGAACGUCCCCUGACGGUAUCUAACCAGAAAGCCACGGCUAACUACGUGCCAGCAGCCGCGGUAAUACGUAGGUGGCAAGCGUUGUCCGGAUUUAUUGGGCGUAAAGCGAGCGCAGGCGGUUUCUUACGUCUGAUGUGAAAGCCCCCGGCUCAACCGGGGAGGGUCAUUGGAAACUGGGAGACUUGAGUGCAGAAGAGGAGAGUGGAAUUCCAUGUGUAGCGGUGAAAUGCGUAGAUAUAUGGAGGAACACCAGUGGCGAAGGCGGCUCUCUGGUCUGUAACUGACGCUGAGGCUCGAAAGCGUGGGGAGCAAACAGG